rnacentral:rRNA from 1 species
UGAUUCAGCGGCGGACGGGUGAGUAAUGCCUAGGAAUCUGCCUGGUAGUGGGGGACAACGUUUCGAAAGGAACGCUAAUACCGCAUACGUCCUACGGGAGAAAGCAGGGGACCUUCGGGCCUUGCGCUAUCAGAUGAGCCUAGGUCGGAUUAGCUAGUUGGUGAGGUAAUGGCUCACCAAGGCGACGAUCCGUAACUGGUCUGAGAGGAUGAUCAGUCACACUGGAACUGAGACACGGUCCAGACUCCUACGGGAGGCAGCAGUGGGGAAUAUUGGACAAUGGGCGAAAGCCUGAUCCAGCCAUGCCGCGUGUGUGAAGAAGGUCUUCGGAUUGUAAAGCACUUUAAGUUGGGAGGAAGGGUUGUAGAUUAAUACUCUGCAAUUUUGACGUUACCGACAGAAUAAGCACCGGCUAACUCUGUGCCAGCAGCCGCGGUAAUACAGAGGGUGCAAGCGUUAAUCGGAAUUACUGGGCGUAAAGCGCGCGUAGGUGGUUCGUUAAGUUGGAUGUGAAAUCCCCGGGCUCAACCUGGGAACUGCAUCCAAAACUGGCGAGCUAGAGUAUGGUAGAGGGUGGUGGAAUUUCCUGUGUAGCGGUGAAAUGCGUAGAUAUAGGAAGGAACACCAGUGGCGAAGGCGACCACCUGGACUGAUACUGACACUGAGGUGCGAAAGCGUGGGGAGCAAACAGGAUUAGAUACCCUGAUAGUCCACGCCGUAAACGAUGUCAACUAGCCGUUGGGAGCCUUGAGCUCUUAGUGGCGCAGCUAACGCAUUAAGUUGACCGCCUGGAGAGUACGGCGCAAGAUUAAAACUCAAAUGAAUUGACG